GUGUUUUUCAUAGUAUUAGAUAUAAGAUUAAUUAAAGAGACGUGCUCGCUUGUGAAAGUAAGUGCAUCAAAAAACAGAAGCGUCUGUUUGAUUGAUAAAUGUGUAAGGAGCAUCGGUUUACCAGAGCCGAUGCUUUUUUU
rnacentral:sRNA from 1 species